rnacentral:rRNA from 1 species
GGCUCAGGAUGAACGCUGGCGGCGUGCUUAACACAUGCAAGUCGAACGAAGCACUACCGACGGAACUUUUCGGAGGGAAGAUGGUAAUGACUGAGUGGCGGACGGGUGAGUAACGCGUGGGCAACCUGCCCCAUAGAGGGGGACAACAGCUGGAAACGGCUGCUAAUACCGCAUAACAAGGAGAGAGCGCAUGUUCUUUUCCUCAAAGAUUUAUCGCUAUGGGAUGGACCCGCGUCUGAUUAGCUGGUUGGUGAGGUAACGGCUCACCAAGGCGACGAUCAGUAGCCGGCUUGAGAGAGUGGACGGCCACAUUGGGACUGAGACACGGCCCAGACUCCUACGGGAGGCAGCAGUGGGGAAUAUUGCACAAUGGGGGAAACCCUGAUGCAGCGACGCCGCGUGAGUGAAGAAGUAUUUCGGUAUGUAAAGCUCUAUCAGCAGGGAAGAUAAUGACGGUACCUGACUAAGAAGCCCCGGCUAACUACGUGCCAGCAGCCGCGGUAAUACGU